CACAUGCUUUAUUUUGCACUGUAAACUAACCUUUUUAUUGCAACAGGUUCCUUUUAAAUGAUCCAGUGUAAUAACUACUGCUUGUGUCUUCUAUGUCUCACAUUAUGUGUUCUUUUAAAUUGUGGUAUAUAGCCUGAAUCAGACAUCAUGGACAAAAGGUUUUUACCUGUAUUACAAAGGGCUCUUGGAGACUGACCGGUCUAAAGGUUUGCCAUGCCUUUAAAACAUGGUAUAGUAUAAAUUUUUUAAGUCUCUGAGAGUUCUGAAAGAUUCAGGUGAAACCAUGUCUGUUUAAUCUGGUCCAGAUGUUCGUUCAAUUUCUAUAGGAUUUAAGUUGAUGCAGCAUCAUCUCAGAUUAGUUAAUGGUAGUUUUAUACAAAUAGUUGAGUUAUGAGCGCGCUAUAUAAAUGGAUCCUUUCUUUAAAUACAAUACUAUAGUAGAUUAAAGUAAUGAAGUUAAUUAAGAAAAUGUAUACAUAAGAAUCCCUAAAAUAAAUCUAAACUAAAAUUGGUAUACCUUCCAAUAAUAUGUUCUGAAUACAGCUGUUAACUGUUUAUUUUGUGUAAAUGGUGAUUGUGAUAAUGUGUGAAGUGUGCAGUUUAACUUGAAAGUGGUUUAAUUUAUAUGUUGCUGUAUUGUUUUAAAUUAUAUGUGAAUCAGUUUGUCACAGUCUAGUGAUACUGAUAAGAAUGACAGCCAAAUAACCUAGCAAAUAACUGUUUUAUUAGUUGUUGAAUACUAGCGUUUUGGCCAAGAAUAGUUGGAGAUUUGGAGGUGUUAGUUUAAGAUUGCUUUUAUAUUGUGUGUAUCCGUGUUUCCUAGGAGGGAGACAGAGUGUGUAGUUGUGUGCCCAUAAAUGUGAUUUCUGUAUUGGCAUAUCUGCUGGGUACCCAUUAUGUGUUUCUACAAAGAUAUUGCUUUGUGAGAUGACGUGUAAUAUUACAUGGGAUGCUGAGUAUGAGUUAUAUGGUUUGAAAUGAAUUGGUGAUUAUGAGCUUAGUACUUCAGUAAGAUGUGCUAAAAUUUGGAACAAGGUGGAAGCUGAAAUGUUGGGAUUAUGGAAGAAUAAGCAGUCUAUAUUCACUGCUUUGGCAUAUAAGCAAGAUGCAAAGGAAGAGAUUGGUAAUAUGAUUUUUGUAAAGAAAUUUUACAAGUGUUGGAAG